ACCUCUAUGCCGAAUAUUAGCAAAUACCUGCAUAUCCUAGCGUUCAAACCAGAGCACAUCAACACAACAGGCAUCUCCUCGAAACUGGAUUCCAGCAAGGACACCUGGGGCAGAGAGAGAAAGUAGGAAUGCUGAACUCUGGAGGGACGAUGCACCUCAGAGAGGUUCAAAGCUAUUCAAAGGCAGAGCCAGCACCUAAAAUUGACUCCACACCACCGGGCCUGAUCUGUGUUCUGGGGGCUCCAACCUGCCGGAGAGAAGACUGAGGGGGAGACGGAGCUCCAGAUCCAGAAAAGCAGCAAAACCAGACAAGCGGCGCCAUGGCCGCCUCGGGACCAGCUGCACUGGCUAAUGACCCCCUGCCCCGACAGGGACCAGUCAUGAUCCUGAAAGAGCACACCUGGAAAGCUGGGGAAUCUUCUAUUAAGACCCUCUCCUGAGACCUCCCCUAAGAUUUACACCCGAAAGAGAGAUAAAUACGCUCAGGAUGAAGGACCCGGUGCCUGCUCUUCCCCAGGGGAGCCAUUCCCGUUCCCCUUCUUUCCUCUAAGGGGCCCUAUGAGACUUGCCACCAGGGGAGCAAUGGGCAGCGGCAGCUCAUCCAUGGCUCACCCCUGAACCUGUCUUCAAGGCCCCCUUUUCUCUGACUUCUCAGUGAGCCAAAGCAGCCCAGCCUGGGCUCUCCUGUUGCUUCUUCUGUGCCCUUCCUUGUUUCUCCGUCCUAAACAUAUUUAUGAUGUGGCCAAUAAAUUCUUACUUACUUUACUACA